AAUUGCUCUGUAUCAAGUUUUCAAUUUUGUGUUUGAUGAUUCAAUUGUUACACACACAUUCUGGGAAAAUUAUAAGUCACUAUAUGAUGUGUUAUUUUCAAUUUGCUUCUUGAUUUCAACCUUCUCUUCUCAGUGACUCUGGAGAUACUGAUAAUGAAGAAGAAAGCAGCCGUUGUCUCUGUGCCAUUCUAUGAGACUGCUUGCUUAGAGGGUGGUUCAGAAGCAGAGGUGAUCCAGGAGAUCAUUCAAUCUGCUUUUUUGGCUACAUUUUAACCUCAGUCGUCUGCUAAUCUCUGCUUCAAAUCCAACCAAGAAUUCUACCUUCCUGCUCUGAACACCGUAGAUUUGAUGGCGUUGAUGGCAUUCUCGUUGAUGAAAGAAUCAUCAUAUUUCUUCAGAAGAGGAUCGAAUUCCUCUGCUUUCCUGACGUUCUCAAGGUCAGGAUCUGCCCGAAUUCUCU